UUCUCAAAGAUUAAGCCAUGCAAGUCUAAGUAUUAGCAAUCUAUACGGUGAAACUGCGAAUGGGCUCAUUAAAUCAGUUAUCGUUUAUUUGAUAGUACCUUACUACACGGAUAUCUGUGGUAAUUCUAGAGUUAAUACGUGCUAAAAACCCCGACUUCGGAAGGGGUGUGUUUAUUAGACAAAAAACCAAUGCCCUCCGGGGCUCCUUGGUGAUUCAUAGUAACUCAACGAAUCGCAUGGCCUUGCGCCGGCGAUGGUUCAUUCAAAUUUCUGCCCUAUCAACUUUCGAUGCUAGGGUAGUGGCCUAGCAUGGUUACAACGGGUAACGGGGAAUUAGGGUUCUAUUCCGGAGAGGGAGCCUGAGAAACGGCUACCACAUCCAAGGAAGGCAGCAGGCGCGCAAAUUACCCAAUCCCGACUCGGGGAGGUAGUGACAAUAAAUACUGAUACAGGGCUCUUUUGGGUCUUGUAAUUGGAAUGGGUACGAUUUAAACACCCUAACGAGGAACAAUUGGAGGGCAAGUCUGGUGCCAGCAGCCGCGGUAAUUCCAGCUCCAAUAGCGUAUAUUAAAGUUGUUGCAGUUAAAACGCUCGUCGUUGAACCUUGGGCCUGGGCGACCGGUCUCCCUCACCGGAUGCACUGGUUCGGCCGGGCCUUUCCUUCUGGGGAUCCGCAUGCCCUUCGCUGGGCGUGCCGGGGAACCAGGACUUUUACUUUGAAAAAAUUAGAGUGUUCAAAGCAGGCCUUUGCUCGAAUACCUUAGCAUGGAAUAAUAGAAUAGGACGUGCGGUCCUAUUUUGUUGGUUUCUAGGACCGCCGUAAUGAUUAAUAGGGUCAGUCGGGGGCAUCAGUAUUCAAUUGUCAGAGGUGAAAUUCUUAGAUUUAUUGAAGACUAACUACUGCGAAAGCAUUUGCCAAGGAUGUUUUCAUUAAUCAGUGAACGAAAGUUAGGGGAUCGAAGACGAUCAGAUACCGUCGUAGUCCUAACCAUAAACUAUGCCGACUAGGGAUCGGGCGAUGUUAUCAUUUUGACUCGCUCGGCACCUUACGAGAAAUCAAAGUGUUUGGGUUCUGGGGGGAGUAUGGUCGCAAGGCUGAAACUUAAAG
rnacentral:rRNA from 1 species